rnacentral:lncRNA from 1 species
UCAUUUUUUACUAAAUUCACAUUACGAAAUAAAUAUAUUUUUUUAACAGAAUAAAAAAAGACGAUAGAUUCUUAAAGUACAACUCUUCCUUUUCCCACUGAUCAUCAUUUUAAUUACUUUAUCUAUUUUUUUUUAAUAAAUACCGGCGUUUGAAAAAAAGGCAAAUUUUUACAAAAUUUUUUUGUUCCUUUCUCAUUUUUUUCAAAAAAUCGCGUUUCUUUUAAUGUUUUCGACUUUUCAGCCAAGACCAUUAUAAUUCUGAGAUUUUUUCCUUUUGAUAAAAAAAAAGUUAAAAUUGAUUAAAUACAUUUGGAGAUAUAAGUCAACAAAAUUUUGAGGUUAGCGUAACCCCUGUGCGUAGGAAUCGGGAGAAAAAUAAGGUGUGUAAGCAGAGGGUUAAAAUUACUUGAAAAAAUGAUAAAUGAAAAGUUGAUAUGGAUUGCCGAAAGAAAUAAAUGGAUGAACGAAACGCAAAAUGGUUUCAGAAAGCGAAGAUCAUGCAUAGACGACCUGACGAAACUAAUAGCACACUUACAAUUGGCUAAAGAAAGAGAUACAAAUACUAUAGUAGUUUUCCUUGAUAUAAGAUCUGCAUAUGAUAACGUUAAGGCCCACAUACUAAAUAAGAUAUUAUUGGAGAAAGAGUGCCCCAAGAAAAUAAGAAAAUUCAUUAUGAAAUGGAUGAUAGAAAGACGGACAAAAUUUAUUAUAGAUGCAAAAGAAACCAUAGAAAGAACAAUCAACAAAGGACUCCCGCAAGGAGGCGUUCUAAGCCCCAUCCUUUACAACAUCUACACUGCAAAUAUAACAAGAAACCUUAACAAAGAAAUACAAGUACUACAAUAUGCUGAUGAUAUUGCAAUUACAUAUAGCAACGACGAUCUAAUAAAAUAUCAAAAAAGAAUAGAGAAAGCUAUUGAUACUUUAAAUGAAAAUCUAAAACAAGUAGGCUUGAACUUAGAAUCUGCUAAAACUAAUUUUAUGCUAUUUAACAACAAGAGAAAGAAACGUAAGCAAAUAAGCAUAAAAAUAAGUAACUUGAGAAUUAGAAAUACUAGAAUAUUCAAAUUCCUGGCCGUAACAUUCGAUGAAGAGCUAAACUUUGAAGACUAUCUAUUGGAAAUUUAAAGGAAGACCAAUAAAGUAAUCCAAAGAAUGAGAUACGUGAAUAGAGUAAAUUGGGGUAUGGAUGUAAAUACGGCACUAAUAAUAUAUAAGAGUUAUGUAAGAGCUACCAUGGAAUAUGCAAUAAAUAUUGUAUACCCCAGACUACAGAAAGAUAGAAAAAUAGAAAAGUUACAGAAUAAAGCAUUAAGAAUUGCCAUGAGAUAUAGGAACAGUACUCCCAUAAAUGUAAUGCUGGCUGAAUCUAAAUUAAUAUAAAUGGUAGAGAGGGCAGAACUUCUAGCAAGAAAUUACUAUACUAAAAUAUGUAAUUACCAAAACAGAGACUUAAAAAACUUACUCAAUAGACUAUACAUAAUCAUCGCCAGAAAUAGAUUUAGAACUAUAACCAAAAAAAGAUUUUUAUUCUUGGAUAGUGGGAGAAGUCAAGAAUCAUAAGGAUAAAUUUCAGGAAAAAAGACACCUCCCAAUCUUUGAUUGUGACUACUGGGCUCUAACUAACAAGACAAUAAUAGAUCUUGAAAUAGGAAAGAAGAAAAAGAAGACCACUGAUAUGUCGGAUGAUACCAUCAUGAACAAAUUUAAAAACAAAUACAACCUGAAUCAAAACUUUCAGAUUAUAUUUACGGUCGGUUCUAAAAAGGAAAAUGGAAAAAGCACGGGGGUGGCCAUAGUACUAGAUAACAUGGAAACUGUGUAUACAAUAAGCAUAUAUGACCACUGUUCAAUAUACACAGCAGAGAUGCUGGCCAUAGAAAAAGUUCUAUGGCCAUAGACUUAGAAAUCAAAAAGGACCUACUUAUUCUGUCAGAUUCACAUAGCGCUUGUGAAGAACUAGCCAACCUUCUUAACGGUCAUAAACACGAAUACGCAGUAAAACUUAAAGAAAAGAUACAAAAGUAUAGAGAAGACGGGAGAAAUAUCAGGUUAUCAUUGGCUGGAUACCUAGCCACAAAGGUAUAAAAGGAAAUGAGUUUGCAGACAGUCUAGCAAAAGAAGCUACAAAGGAAAAAACGGAUACAAGAAUAAAAAUUCCAGAAAACGACUGGAAAAAUGUAAAUAGGAUGAAUAUGACCAACAAAACAAAAGAAAAAAUCAUCUCGGAAGCUAACUACAAAGGUAAGCUGUAUUUCAAGAAGUGUAUUACGAAGAAAGUGCUAAACCCUGGUUCAAUAAAAUCAAGGAAGAGAGAGGCUUCAUCAAUAUGAUAAAUAGGUUGAGAGUCAACCAUUACAAUUUAAAUGAAUCUCUGAGUAGGCAAGAAUAUACAAAAAACCCAAGGUGCGACUGUGGAGCCGAAAAUAGAACAUCCAACACGUGGCUUUCCAAUGUAGUAAAUAUGACGAUCUCAGAAACAAUAUGUAUAGACAGUUAACAACCAUCAAGGAAAGAUACCCCUACGAUAUAGAGAUGUGGCCGAGGCAACUCAAGUUAGAGACCUUGAAAAUACUAUGGCUUUUUAUCAAGUAAACGGGCAAAAUGAUAUAAACCUGAUAAUACAGCCUUCAAACGAAAUCAACGAGAAGGAGUAUCUACAUAGCCAUAAAUACGUGGAGGCUGAUGAACACUAAAUACCCAUACAAAAAAAAUUACACGCAAGCUGACGCGUGGCGCGAGCGAGCCACUGGCGACCUACGUGACAUUAUACACAGUGCUAUAAUGUAGAGACCCUUUAAUAAGUGUGCUUUCCAGCAAGACACAGUGUAACACAGUGUCCAUUAGUGUGAGAAAGAACAUAUCAGUGUGUCUCACUCACAUUAGUGGACACUGUGUUACACUGUGUCUUGCAAGAAAGCACACUAACAAUAAGAGUCUAGCCAUCAUACAUAUCGUGUGCUUUCCAGAAGGACACAAUGUAACACAGUGUCCAUUAGUGUGAGAAAGAACAUAUUAGAGUGUGUCUCACUCACCCUAGUGGACACUGUGUUACAUUGUGUAUUUCUGGAAAGCAUAUCAAUAUCUUGAUUUGAAGCAUUGUGAUUGGUCCGCCAUUUUUUUCUUUAAUGGCGUAGUAAUAUUACGUGAUGUCGUCAAGUAUCAGUUGCAUCAGCUUUUCUCAGCAAUUCGUACUGUAUGUGAUCGUACUGUGAUAAAAAGAAAAUAAUAAAAGCAAAAUAUUCUUAAUAAUAAUAUUUUCUACAAGAUAAUUUUUAGAUUGAGAUUAUUAGUAUUUCAGCAACAUGACUGCUUGUACAGCUCCUGACUGUACAAAUUUCAAUAAUAAAGGAUUUAUUAUGAAAAUUUUCCCCCGAGAUCCGACUCGGCAUGCUCAAUGGGCAGCAAAUGUUAGCAAAGAAGACUAAACACCUACAGCCGGAUCAUUUCUGUGUGAAGUUCAUUGCUCACACAAUAUGUAGGAAAAUAAACGAGCUGACGGAAAAAGAAAGCUGAAAGUAAAUGCUGUGCUGACAAUAUUUAGAAGCGAAGCAAAGAUGAUUAAAAGUUACCAUGAAAACAUCAAUGCUUCACUAAAUGACGUGGGUUGUGUUACGAAUGAUUUGUCAUGAGUGCAAAGUGAAAAGGUCGAAAAUGAAAAAGAAAGUAAUAAUUGCAAUGAUGAGGAUGAACUACAAUUGGAAAGUGCUGAACGUAAAAAGGAUAAUAGAGAACUUAAAAACAUGUCACGUAUAAUAAAAAAGCAAACAAAUUAUAUGUGGGCAAGCACGUAUAAUUAAAAAUCAGAAUGUCAAAGUAGUAAAAUAUAAAAAAUGCGUGCUUAUUGCACGACGUGACUUAAAGGCAUUAAAAUUGAAAAUAAAACAAAAUAUUGUUGCGAGUGUGUUCUCGUGCACGUGAGCGCGAGCUUUAGGCUGAAAUCACAUGGUGCGGAAUAGAGCUGCGGAAUAGAAAGUGCGUCAUAGAAGCAACCGAGCUAUUCCGCAUUUUCUGUUCCGCAAAUGUUUGACCGGCCUGUUCCCAUGGUGCGUCAUAGACGGGCAAUGAUGCAUCCGGAAUGAAAAUUAUAGAUGUAAUACAACUUUUAAAAUAAAUCAAACGUUUUUAUAAAAUGUAAUAUUUGUAAUAGCAAUAAUAAUCAUUAAUAUAAUAUUAUAUGAAAUUUUGUAUUGAAUAUUAAAAAGUUGAAAAUAAUAUUUUUAAAUUUUUGAACUGCAUUGACGCAUUCUUGGUCAUUUUUUCUGCACUAUGUGAACAGGCCGGUCAAAGAUUUGCGGAAUGCGUGAUGCGUGAUGUAGCCUUGGUCGUACACCAUGCAAUAUUGUUAACCUUUUUUGCUAAAACUUUGUUUUUGUCAGAAAAUAGUAAAGGUUAUGAAUAUGGAAAAUAAAAUAGUGAUGAUUCAAGAGUCUAUUAAAGUUUUAAUGAGAGUAUACAUGAGAAGAACUCCAAUGCUCCGGUAUCAAAAGGAAAAAAUCAGAUUUGCUUUAGUAAAAUUAUGGCUAUUAUAUACAAAAUUGUCAAAGCAGAAAUCCAAGAGAAGGAUGUGGGUCAGGCCUAUUUAUUCAAUUGAGCAGCGUUUCUCUCAAGGAGAUAGUGACAAUUUAGUUAAUAUGUUACGAAUGACAGAUCCUUCUCUAUAUUUUAAUUAUUUAAGAAUGGAUGUUAGCAUCUUUGAAGAUCUACUAUUAAUAGUAGGUCCCGGAAUUGAAAAACAAUUAAAUAUUAGAGAACCAAUUGCUUCAUACACAAGACUGCAAAUAUGCUUAAGGUAUUUAGCAAGUGGAGAUAGCAUGAAGUCUAUUGGAUAUGCUUUUCGAGUCGCACCAAAUACUGUCUCAAAAAUAAUUCAUUCAACUGUUACUUGGUUAUGGCUACAAUUGCAACGAAUUCUAUGACGCUAUGACGCAACGACGCCAAUGACGCGAACGCUUGCAAAAAAGGUUAUAGACACUGCGGCAAAGCUCUGAUUGGCUGCGUCUAUGACGCACGUUUUAUUCCGCAGCUCUAUUCCGCACCAUGUGAUUUCAACCUUAGUCUGCGCUCCGGAAAAAUCAAUAGUAUCGAUUGCCUCGGUCAGCUGAGCUUAGAGUAAACAGCGUUGCCGAGGAGUUGUAAACAAAUGAAUGGUUGUUGUUCUAGAGACGUCGUCUCGUGUGGACGUAUUCUGAAUAUUUGUAAACGUGUUCGCAGUUUUAAUAAAGUUCCUUGUUUGCCAAAAGCGUGUUUUUAUUCCGCCGCGCUCACGUAUGGAAGUGAAGGUGUCGCGGAAGCGUUCAAGCGCAACAAUAUUAAUGCAGCUCUGUUAAACAAGCUACAAGAAACUUCACUAACGAUCAAAUUAACAGCUUUAAAAAAACAAUAGAAGAGUACAGAAGUGGACCAACGAAACAAUUAUAAAAGCACUUUGAUUAAGAUUUUCUUGUGGCAUUACCGAUUAUGAAGAACUCCGUCGCCAGAAAUUUCCUUUGCCAGGACUUCAAACAUUGAAAAGAAAAUUGGAAAAUUUUAAAUUUGAAAGCGGAAUUUCAGACAAUAUUCAAAUUUUUUAAACUGAAGGUAUCAAAUUGAAACAAAAUUGAUAAAGAAUAUUGUCUAGUAUUCGAUGAAAUCAGCAUUUCAUCAGGGAAUAUUUUCGAUAAUUCCUCUCAAAGUUACAUUGGUAAUGUAACUUUGCCAGGACACACAGAGCCAAAUCAAUUGAUCUCACCGUAAAUUUGAUUACUUCCGAUAUGGGAUCUGGCAAUCAGGCUUUGUAGAAAACAUUAGGGAUAACAGCAGGAAGACAUCCCAGAAUAGUAAAUUACAUCACACAUCUAUGUGACAUUAAUCAUAAUUUGUAUGUUAUCGCGGAUGUACCGCACCUACUAAAAAUUUGAAAGCAUGUCUUCUAAAUAAGUUCCUCAUGAUACUUAAAAAUAUUGUACGUAAAUAUAAUUUGCACAACAAAUAUAAUACAAGCAAAACAUUUCGAAGAAUUAAUUUUAACGCAAAAAGAAUUUCAGUUUUUAUUAACGCCAAAUUAAGUAUAAGCGAUAUCGAUACUAAUAAUAAUUUUGCUAAAAUGCGUGUCAAUAAAAUGAAAAAUUUAUUGAGUGAGCACUGCUUUGGAGCUUUUAGCCGAUGAAAAUUCAGCACCAGAAUACAUUACUACAGCAUUUUUUAUCAAAAUAAUAGUAAAAUGUUAUACGGUUAUGACUUUAAAGCACUGCAGCAUUUCUUUGAGUACAAAAGAUUUGGCGAAAUAUAAAAAUACUGUUUCUUUUUUAAAUAAAGUUAUAGACAUAUUUACUAAUCUUCAUGAUGGUAACAAAGGAGAUUUUAACCUGUUCAAAAAAGAGUGAUUAUUUUAACUAAAUCUAUUUUAGAAUUGGCAGAUUAUCUCUUUCGUGAAAGAAAAUUUCAAUUCUUAUUGAUAGGUAGACUUAUGCCAGACUGUGUAGAGAAUCUUUUUUCUGUUUUUCGAAUCAAAAAUGUUACUUUAAAUGCUUUACAAUUUAAGAAUAAUCUUAAAUUAAUUGCCAUUUCUUUGUAUAUGCGUUCAGUUUCUCGAGGUAAUUACAAAGAAGACGAUGCGCAAUAUGUAACAGGUUUAUUAGAUGUAAUUGGCGAACAUAAAUCUGAGUUUCGUAAUAAAUAUAGCCCGGAUUUUCCAACGGCCGUUGGGCAAAUCUGAGUCGACCGUAGUACGUUCCUCACGGCUCUCCCUACUUCGACCGUAGGCGGGAGCGCACCAUCGCUCCCCACCAUCACGCGCUUCCGCCCGCUCCUCUCCGACUCGAACGCGUAAAGUGGGAAGAGCUAGCUACGGUCGACGCGAUUUCAGAACUUUAAUCCGGGCUCUAGUAAUGAAUGAAAUGCUGAUCUGUCGUACCUGCAGAUCUUUCCGUCUGAGCCUGCAGCUCAGAAAGAAUUAAACUUUAUAAAAGAAUUGAACUCUAUAGAAAGUAAUUUUUUAUAUAGUAUCGCAGAAUACAUUGUAACAAGCAUUUAAAAAAUACUAAACUAUGUCAGCAUUGCAUUCAAAGUGUAGGUUCCACACAUCGAAAUUUGUCAAAACAUGCGAGAUGAGUUUGAUUGCGAAGUUAUAAAGACAAUACUCUUUUUUUUGUAAACAAUGAAGCAUUUGAAUUAUUUAAAAAAAUGGAGUAUAUAUUUAGGCAGCAUCAAAAAUCUACAUGCAAUAACAAUAGCGGUUAUAACAACCUUUUAGUUGAUAAAUUUUGAAAUAUUUUAAGCAAUAGUUAUAUUUUGUUCUGUCAUAAUUUAUAUAGAAAAAUAGCAAAUAGAUAUGCAAUUUAUAGAAUGAGGACCGCAAACAGAAAAAAAGAUUAUUAAACGUAAAUACGACAAAUCGAUGGCAAUGCAUAGUGCAAUAAAAUAACACAAAUUGUGAAAAUUUUAUUUAAUUUUCUACUUAAUCAUCGAAUGGUUAAACUUUUUACGUUACACUUGUCUUUCGCUACUAUUUACACGUUAUACAUUGUACACUAGAUAUUAAAAAAUAAUGUUAUUAAUAAAAA